ACAUACUUUUGCAGGUCUCCGAAGAUUGCACUGUUAUGGUCUUUCAAUUGCCUCGCCUGACAUCUGUCAGUGUUCACUUCUACCUUAGAAGUUUGAGCCUGGAACAAGAAGGCUGUGCURCCUGCCUCUCAGCAGGUGGAGCUAUGAGUCAUAGUUAAGCCUGGAGCCCUUGCAAGGUCAAAGCAAAGACUUUAACAUCUCCUUUACAAGGGGGUARGGAACUGUUUUGCCCAUUGUAGCUCUAGGGGGAAGAGCUGUCUCUGAUAAUAGGAAACUGGACUAUAUUUUGUGGCUACUCAGUCCCAGCUUAGAAACAUAUGAGGUGCUUUACACUUGCAGAUGAUGUUGGAUGAGAACAACACAGAUAUCUGGAGAUGGUUUGUUAUCUUGACUCCUUGUGGAGCUAAAGGGUCGUUCUGAUGCAGAUGGAAGAAAGUCCUCAAUCACUAGGCCUGAAAUAAUCUACCAUUUGAGGAAGCAGUGCACAGAGAGAGAUGGGCUUUUCUUCUCUCCCAAACUUUUUGUUGCUCUGCKGUAGUACUUUGAAGCUCAGGAGCAGGUAAGUUUUGUUGCUUUCCAGAGUGUUUUAUUUCUGUACCUUGGACAUACGAGCAAUGUUGUCACCUUACUGUCUCCUUGUCCACUUGUCAGGUGAAGUUAGACUGUUAGCUGAUUCUUAGCGCUUAUUAUUGAUUAGAUCAAAAUAGGGAAUAGUGCAUGGGCACAAUACACUGGUGCAGAGUUAUUGGCAAUUGUGAAAACAUUGUCAUGGCAGUAGAAGAU